rnacentral:lncRNA from 1 species
CUUAAAUUACAAAUGCUGGAGAUGGGUUCAUUUAUAAACAACAGAAACUUGUUCUUCUGAUUAGUGUGCUAGCAUGGAGAAAUACAGUUUGUCAAAAUCUUAUAAUGGAACAAAUGCAUUGGACCCAUAGGCAUACAACUUUGAUGGAUGAUGUCAGAUGUGCGCUAGCUGUAAAGUGCCUUUAUUAUGUUGAGGUUGUACCACACUCAAUAUGGAUGAGACAGUGACCCCGACAACUCAUAAUUCAGUUUUUUGUCUUAUAUUGGGAUAUGCACUUCCAAUUAAGUUCAGUGAUCAUCAUGGAAGAAAAGGACAGAAAGAUUGUAAGAGUCAGAGGAGUGUAUUAAUGCAGCAAAAUGGUGUUUUCUGGAAAUGACAAGGGAGCUUCACACAUCAACUCAUGUGGUGAUAUCUUGUUUAUGAACUAAUAAUACUUGUCUGAAGAUUACAAUAUAAAGGUAGUCACAGCUACAGAAGCUUGGCAAUGAUGGCACACACCUCUAAUCCCAGGACUCAUGAGACAGAGGCAGAUAGAUCUCUGUGAGUUUAAGGCAACUCAGGGCAACAUAAGAGUGAAUCAGUCUAAAAGAGAAACAGAGCUCACACCUUUAAUCCCAGCACUGGAGAGGUAUAUAAGACAGGAGCAGGGUUUCAUAUUCUGGCACUUAGUCUACAGCCAUGUUGAGGAUAGAAUCUCUCCAGCCUUGGGAGAGGUCAGAACUCUCUGGUGGCUUGGGUGCUUUGCUUUUCUGAUCCUCAGCUUGAACCCUACUAUCUAUCUCUGGAUUUGUGUUAUUCAUGCUCACAACAGCUGUGACGACAAUCAGAGCAGCAACACAAGAUCAAGCCAGACAAAUUCCAACAUGGAUUGAGGAGGGCGUCACAAAGUCCCAUCCCUAGCCAAGGAGCUAUUAGCAAUAUAUGGACACUGGAGGGGGAGUCAGCAUUCUUCAGGGAUGGGACCCAUGGGAGGCUAUGCAGCCUCCAGUAGAUUUCCUCCCAUCCCUGCAAAUACUGGCAACACUAAGUGGGCAUAGUGGGUUAAAAAAAUAAAAAGAACAUACAAGGUUGUUGAGGAAACUGUAUCAUCAGCCUUUGACAUUAUUUAACUAUUUCUUUCUCUCUGAAACCUUCGUUUAACUGGCUUUCUUGGGUACCAAAUCACUGGUUGCUUUGUCUCGGACUCUAUUCACUUUCUCCUGCCUGUCUCUUGCCUCUAUGUGGCAGUACACUUCUGGGAUCAUUUUUCAGUCUUUGUUUAUGCGCUCUUACAAAUUGAUGAUUUCACAUCUCUCAAAGCCUUCACUAUUAGCUGAACCUUCAUGUCUUG